AUUGAACGCUGGCGGCAUGCCUUACACAUGCAAGUCGAACGGUAACAGGUCUUCGGAUGCUGACGAGUGGCGAACGGGUGAGUAAUACAUCGGAACGUGCCCGAUCGUGGGGGAUAACGAAGCGAAAGCUUUGCUAAUACCGCAUACGAUCUAAGGAUGAAAGCAGGGGACCGCAAGGCCUUGCGCGAACGGAGCGGCCGAUGGCAGAUUAGGUAGUUGGUGGGAUAAAAGCUUACCAAGCCGACGAUAUGUAGCUGGUCUGACAGGACGACGAGCCACACUGGGACUGAGACACGGCCCAGACUCCUACGGGAGGCAGCAGUGGGGAAUUUUGGACAAUGGGCGAAAGCCUGAUCCAGCCAUGCCGCGUGCAGGAUGAAGGCCUUCGGGUUGUAAACUGCUUUUGUACGGAACGAAAAGACUCUGGUUAAUACCUGGGGUCCAUGACGGUACCGUAAGAAUAAGCACCGGCUAACUACGUGCCAGCCGCCGCCGUAACAC
rnacentral:rRNA from 1 species